rnacentral:rRNA from 1 species
CCUCGGGAGGCAGCAGUGGGGAAUAUUGGGCAAUGGGCGCAAGCCUGACCCAGCAACGCCGCGUGAAGGAAGAAGGCUUUCGGGUUGUAAACUUCUUUUCUGAGGGACGAAGAAAGUGACGGUACCUCAGGAAUAAGCCACGGCUAACUACGUGCCAGCAGCCGCGGUAAUACGGAGGUGGCCAGCGUUAUCCGGAUUUAUUGGGUGUAACGGGUGUGUAGGCGGGAAAGCAAGUCCGAUGUGAAAACUCAGGGCUCAACCCUGGGCCUGCAUUUGAAACUGUUUUUCUUGAGUGCUGGGGAGGCAAUCGGAAUUCCGUGUGUAGCGGUGAAAUGCGUAGAUAUACGGAGGAACACCAGUGGCGAAGGCGGAUUGCUGGACAGUAACUGACGCUGAGGCGCGAAAGCGUGGGGAGCAAACAGGAUUAGAUACCCUUGUAGUC